UUGGUGCAACUUAUCGGUACCGAUUCGGUAAACGGGGUUUGGCCAACAAUGCCGGUGUUUCAGCUGGGAACUACUUUCGAGGAAUAAAAGAUCAAGGUCAGAAUAUGGCCUACCUUAUCUAUGAUAUUACAAAAAAUGAAGGACGUGAAGGUCGAGACAGGAAUGACAUGGCGAAAUAUCGAUAAAACUUUGCUCGACUUAAUUCUCC